rnacentral:rRNA from 1 species
UCCCACCCGUGUUUACUGUACCUUAGUUGCUUCGGCGGGCCCGCCAUUCAUGGCCGCCGGGGGCUCUCAGCCCCGGGCCCGCGCCCGCCGGAGACACCACGAACUCUGUCUGAUCUAGUGAAGUCUGAGUUGAUUGUAUCGCAAUCAGUUAAAACUUUCAACAAUGGAUCUCUUGGUUCCGGCAUCGAUGAAGAACGCAGCGAAAUGCGAUAACUAGUGUGAAUUGCAGAAUUCCGUGAAUCAUCGAGUCUUUGAACGCACAUUGCGCCCCCUGGUAUUCCGGGGGGCAUGCCUGUCCGAGCGUCAUUGCUGCCCAUCAAGCACGGCUUGUGUGUUGGGUCGUCGUCCCCUCUCCGGGGGGGACGGGCCCCAAAGGCAGCGGCGGCACCGCGUCCGAUCCUCGAGCGUAUGGGGCUUUGUCACCCGCUCUGUAGGCCCGGCCGGCGCUUGCCGAACGCAAAUCAAUCUUUUCCAGGUUGACCUCGGAUCAGGUAGGGAUACCCGCUGAACUUAAGCAUAUCAAU